ACAGACAACAUGCACGGCAAUACGUGAAAAAACUUUAUAAUUGUUCACAUUUUUUCGUUGCUAUAUGUUCUUAACAACAGUCAACAUUUGAUAAGCAAUAAUACGACUUUACGCUUAGCAAAGUAUAACGAGCAGGUAAAGAAUAGUCAGACAGUAAUUUUAAAGUUUAGACUAGACUGCAUUAAAGUAAAUCGAAACUUGUUUUCCCGUUCUAUUUUCGUCCCCUGUAAUAAUUUAAGGCAGGUGUUAUUGACGCCAAGUAUAGAGUGGCCAUACAUUCAGCAAUUGCGAUACCCAAAUGCUUUUUGUAUAACCAAAUGUUCUCCGAAAUAUCCAGAUGAUAUCUUACAUUAAAAACGUGUUUUUUUAUUAUUUUUUUCUAAUAUUUCUUAGAAACAGUUUCAUAUAUUUUUUUCUUUCCUUUUUCUUUUCUGUAUUUUUUCAUGAUUAAUCAGCCUUUACGAGAGCACCUUAUGUAAUUAUGUUAUCAUUAUCUACUAUUUUUGAAAACUGUGAUAACAAACACAUAGCUAUAAAUACGAUUUUUAGUUAUAUAUAUUUUUAAUUGGCUCGUUUUCGUAUAUUUUAGAAUUUUUACAAUCAUAGAACCCUUGUCUUUUUGUUAUAUUUUCCAAUUUUGUUAUUUCAUGAAAUUGAUAUGUUAUAUCACGGGCUAUUUAACUGACAUUUUUAUAUGUUUACAUGUUAUUACGUAUACACGUGUGUUUUGUAUUUUAAAUUUCAAGACUUACUUUCCAUUAUAUGAAUAUUAUAAACUUAGUGUUUUGACAAUUAUUUUAGUUAUUUUAUUCCCGAAAGGUGUGUAAGGUAAUGGUCUGUGUAUCUGGCCUUGAUGUAUGACAUUUUAUAGUAUAUUUCCACGUGACGUGAAAGAGAUUUUUGUUGCUGAUUAUCGGUGAUCAUACGAUAAAACGUCCACGUGUUGAGAUUGAACCAUGCGGUUGUAAGUGAACGUUGGCUGGUAUUUAAUGCUGCUCGUGCUGUGCAAAAAUACGCUUGUCGUAAUGUCAAACAAAACUGCAUAACGAAUGUUUUCCGAAUUAAUUCUGAGUGAACGUUGGUUUGCAAGUAAUGCGGAAUUUGAUUUUUCAUGCUCGUGUAACGAUUGUAAUACGAAAACAGGUAUACAGAUCGAAUGUGAGUAACAAAAUGGGAUUGGCAUGGUCAACAUGAUUUGAACGAAAUUAAUGAAUUAAGUUUUCGCUUUACAGUCAUCCGUAAGACUACUUACUCAGACUGAACAUUAUAACGAAAAAAGUUUAUUCGAAGAUGGUUAAAUUCAUAAUUUUCAUCUAAAGAAAGAAGUCUUCCCAAAAACCUGCUAUGGAAGACCUCAAACAAACGGUAUAAGACGUCGUUGGGUAAUUACGAAAAAACCGUGUCACAUAGAUGUUAGAAUUAUAGCUUGUGUCAAAUUGCUUGAGAUGAAACGGAGUGACAUCUAAUGUUAGUGAGUUCGUUCUGUCAAGUGCUUACACAGAAUUUACAGUAUCAGAGAGUUUAAAAGAAUCAUUUUAACCUUUUUGGAAGCUGAAUUAUACAAGCGUCAGCUAGGUAAUCCAAACAAGAAAUCGCAUGAAGAGUUGUCUAAUUCGAUUUAAUGUUGCUGGUGGCAGUAGUGAUGGACACAUUGAAGAGUACAUUCUCCUUUCUCGCGAUUACUUUGGUCGACUGAAUAAUUCUAUUCAGGUAACUGGCUGAUCAAAUGGUAUUAUUUUAGAAAUUGUUGAAAACAAUGCAUGAAACCAACAUAAAAUAUUUUUUGCCAAAACAUACGAAGAUCAUAGGUGUUAGCAGUAAGUAUCGGUUUAUUGAGUUGUUUGUGCCAGAAAUGUAUUCCAUCAUAUGACACCGACGAUAAAAAUAAAAUUCAACCUAAUUCUUGAGAAAUGGAAAUGUGUACCCGCCAGAAUGAAAGGUUUAACUUAAUUGUUUUUUUUAAUGUAUCAGUACUGAUUGUGCACCAGUCAUUCGUUCAUUAUCACUUAAAGCCAGCACUGCAAAUAAUAUUAAGUAAAUUUAGUUGAUUGUGCUGCUAAGUAUUCGACGUUUGGAAUUAGAACUAUUCUUGCUGGGGGGUGGGGGUGAUUCAUAUUAAAGGUUAUUUAGCAUUGCUGGAAAAUCAGGUAGUUAUAAAAUAAGAAUGUCUCAUGGAACUCAUCCAGUUUGGCGAUAAAAGUGAUGGUAACGACAGAUUUUCUUUUAUUUGUGACACCUUCUAUUGUGUUAACUCGUUAUUGUCAUGCAAAAUUACAAAAAUAAUUUAUUUCAUUAAAAACACCCUAAAUCUCUUAUAAUAAUACAGAGACUGUGUCUGUUUGUAACAGGCAAAGUGGAUAUCGUCAUUUUCCUUUGAUGUCGCCGAAAAAUGUCUAAUAUAUUACAUUUUCUGAGGUAACGGCUUGACGUCAGUAACACUACCUUUGCGUCAAUGUCCUAUAUAUUAGAUUAAUGAAGCCAUUGCAGUGCACUUAAGACUUUGAGUUCAAAUAACUUGGAAACGAGGUGGUGACGUCAAUGAUUUUUCACCGCGUAGGAAACUAGAGACCACCAGGAACCAAUUUGGGUAAGUUUUCCAAACCUGGCUCCCUGAAUCCGUUUCGGAAUUAAAGGGUUGAUGACGUCAUCAAAAAACCUUUGAAUCCCAAUAUCUCUGCAACCGUUUGUCAAAAGUACAUGAUCCUAUACAUUUUCUUGAUCAGCGUUUCAAGAUCUAUAAGAUGAAGACGACGUGUAUAAAAAUUUCCUAAAAAAUAUUUUUAGUACUUUUAUUAGGGACUUCGUUGACGUCAGCACAAUUUUCCAAGCCUUUUAUCUUAUUAACCGUUCAUCAUAAGUACAUGAUCAUAUACAUUGUCUUAACCAGCGUUUUAAGCUCUAAACAAUAGAAACAACGUGGAAAGAAGGUUCUAUUUUUUUUUUGUGGAUGGAUUGCUGUCGUCAUCAAAACAUCUAAAACAACCUGUUUUCCAUUGACCUUCUCACUAAGUGGAUUUCUCCGCGAGCCUUAUCGACUAGUAUUAAAUAAUAUUAAAUGGUCUAAAUUAUCGUUUAUAAUUCAGGGACACUACGUCCAAUUGCAAAAUGUUUUUUCAUAAUCUAACCAUAAAAUAUACACAGUAACUUAACUUUAUUAUAAAUUAUCUGUAGUGUAAAAAGUGCAGUUUAAUUUCAUUGAGA